rnacentral:rRNA from 1 species
GACGAACGCUGGCGGCGUGCUUAACACAUGCAAGUCGAACGGAAAGGCCCUGCUUGCAGGGUACUCGAGUGGCGAACGGGUGAGUAACACGUGGGUGAUCUGCCCUGCACUUCGGGAUAAGCCUGGGAAACUGGGUCUAAUACCGGAUAGGAGCCAUUUUUAGUGUGAUGGUUGGAAAGUUUUUUCGGUGUAGGAUGAGCUCGCGGCCUAUCAGCUUGUUGGUGGGGUAAUAGCCUACCAAGGCGGCGACGGGUAGCCGGCCUGAGAGGGUGGACGGCCACAUUGGGACUGAGAUACGGCCCAGACUCCUACGGGAGGCAGCAGUGGGGAAUAUUGCACAAUGGGCGCAAGCCUGAUGCAGCGACGCCGCGUGGGGGAUGACGGCCUUCGGGUUGUAAACUCCUUUCGCUAGGGACGAAGCUUUUUGCGACGGUACCUAGAUAAGAAGCACCGGCUAACUACGUG